CCCCGCUCCCGGCAAGGGCUCGCUAGUCACUCCCCCAGCAGGCUGCGGCGUCCCGGAGAGAUGCUUCCACUCCGCACAAACUCCGCGGCGUUGCCAACUCUGCACCAUGUCCGGUCUGAGAGGAAGAGCAGCAGGUUGCUGGAGGCAGCCCGUGUUGAUCCAUACUCGAUUGGCUGAAAGACACCUAGGAUGCGUCUGACGGAGUGGUUAUUCACCCACGAAAGCUUAUGCUCCAAUACGUCUGUUAGUCUAGAAGGUGCCACAGGACUCUUUGUCGCUUUCUAGGAUGAGUAACUGAGCCAUUCAAUCUCUGCAGCCCUCCAAAACUAGUCAUUUCUGAAGACAGGUUUCCAAGCAGCACCACUAAAUACAACAGAGCAGUCUCAGACAGAUUCUACUUGAAGACAUCUGAAGAAUUUUGGGACAAGACUCAGA